CAGAUCCAGCACAAACUGAAGACAGUUGGACUGUUGGAUCAAUAUUCAGAGUGAUUGUGAUUAUUGUUGAGUUUGCAGUGUUUGCUGCUCCUACUGUGAUUCUUCUUCAGAUCAUCUGUGCAAGAAGAGCUGGGAGGAAGAACUUACAGCACUGAGAGGAAAUAGUGAAUAAAAUACUCUCUACUAAUAAAAGGCCAAAUUACAGCAAAAAUGUAUCUUCAUCUCAGUGAUGUUAUGAAUAUUUGCAUGCAGCUUUCAAGGAUAUUUGUUUAUACAUAUAAUAUUGCCAUUUUCUAAACUUGAUUCAUCUGAUCGUUACAUUAAACUUUUUAAGACUUUUUACAUGUUGUAAUAGUUGAUUUUAACUGAUGGUGUGACAUGUCUGUUAAUUAUCAUACAACAUAUUUACAGAUGUAUCUUAAUGUUUUUAUUAAUUCACUGAUCAUUUCAAUUCAUAGAC